AAGUUGUGCAAUAGCAGGUCCUCUGAAUGUCUUUCCCCUUGUUCUCCGUGUUAUAGCUGUGUGUGUGCCACGUUCCACGGGAACACGGUUGGCUUUGGAGACCGAGGAAAGAAGAUAGAACUCUGUGAAGUCUGAACAUCUGUUAAGAGUCAUGAAUGGCUUCGGGGAUGAGCUCAUCAGCAGGUGAACUUCCUGUUCCGGGUGGGAGCUGUCAGUCAUGCCCACACAAUCCCCCUCAGGUUUCUAAGAGAAGCCUCUUCCUGCUCAAGACCCUCU
rnacentral:lncRNA from 1 species